rnacentral:rRNA from 1 species
GACGAACGCUGGCGGCGCGCUUAACACAUGCAAGUCGAACGAAGAAGCUUGGUGCUUGCACCGAGUUAUCUUAGUGGCGGACGGGUGAGUAACACGUGAGCAACCUACCUCAUAGAGAGGGAUAACAUCUGGAAACGGAUGCUAAUACCUCAUAAUCUUUCUUUGCGGCAUCGCAGAGGACGGAAAGGGCAUACUGCUAUGAGAUGGGCUCGCGGCCGAUUAGGUAGUUGGAGUGGUAAAGGCACACCAAGCCUACGAUCGGUAGCCGGACUGAGAGGUUGGACGGCCACAUUGGGACUGAGACACGGCCCAGACUCCUACGGGAGGCAGCAGUGGGGAAUAUUGCACAAUGGAGGAAACUCUGAUGCAGCGACGCCGCGUGAGGGAAGAAGGUUUUCGGAUUGUAAACCUCUGUCUUUGGUGAAGAUAAUGACGGUAACCAAGGAGGAAGCCACGGCUAACUACGUGCCAGCCGCCGCGGUAAGAC